CUACGGGCGGCUGCAGUGAGGAAUAUUGCACAAUGGGGGGAACCCUGAUGCAGCAACGCCGCGUGGAGGAUGACGCAUUUCGGUGUGUAAACUCCUUUUAUAUGUCAAGAAAAUGACGGUAGCAUAUGAAUAAGCGCCGGCUAACUCCGUGCCAGCAGCCGCGGUAAUACGGAGGGCGCAAGCGUUACUCGGAAUCACUGGGCGUAAAGGACGCGUAGGCGGGUUGAAAAGUCAGGUGUGAAAGCCUACAGCUUAACUGUAGAACUGCACUUGAAACUCUCAAUCUAGAGUAUGGGAGGGGCAGAUGGAAUUAGUGGUGUAGGGGUAAGAUCCGUAGAUAUCACUAGGAAUACCUAAAGCGAAGGCGAUCUCCUGGAACAUUACUGACGCUAAGGCGUGAAAGCGUGGGGAGCAAACAGGAUUAGAUACCCUGGUAGUC
rnacentral:rRNA from 1 species